GUAGGGACCUCAAGAAUAC
rnacentral:siRNA from 1 species